UUAUCGUAUCACUAUACGAGGAGAGUCGAUACGAAACGAAAUGUCGUAUUUUGCGAAUAAUCACAUAACACGUGGAGUUGAUCGUAGCCAAGAUAUUUCAAUCGAUAAUAAAUAAAACACCCGGUAUGCAGAAAAUAACACACACGUGCAACCAUUCGCAGUUGUGUACACUCAGAAAUGGGAUGGUACCGCUUUGUUCCUCGCGUCUGACCUUCGUUCUAUUAAAGUAUAAAUUGCUUUAAAGCACAGCGUGGAUCGAAAUGGACUGCUUUUUGGAGAAAGAAGACACCAGAAGAAAGAAAAAACCAAAGAGAGGGUGGCGGAGGGAGAGAAUUGUACCCCGAGCUCCACGAGAAAUUGUCGUUUUACGACGUUUCCAUAAAUAUCAGGGAGGAUCGUAGGAGAAUAAACACAUCCACUCGACGGCGUGACACCAUUUAUUACCCUCGGUACAGGCAAAGCCCAAACGACUUUCAUCCCGCUUUCGAAGCUUUCUCCGAAGCACCCCGGUGUGACGGGGGGCCGAAAAAGUGUCUCCGUGUUGCUUUUUUCCUCUUCUAUACACGACCCGAUUUUUACGUAACUGGCGCCAUUCCUCGUCAAUCCACGAUACGCCGGCCUUCGACC